rnacentral:tRNA from 1 species
GGGCCGUUAGCUCAGUCGGGAGAGCGUCGCGUUUGCAAUGCGAAGGUCAGCGGUUCGAUCCCGCUACGGUCCACCA